AGUAUGAAAAUGUCGAUACAAUUUGUCAUGAAUAACUUAAAUUUUAAGAUUUUCGCGCAUAAAAUUAUGACGCGCGCUGUGUGUGCGGCGGCGUAAUUCGCUACUCGCAUAGCCGUCUCGCUUCUUCUUGUGUGUGCUUUACCGUUGCUCACCGCUUCAAGAACAUUGCUGCUCACACACACGUCAGUCUGUGGCAAACAAUUGGAGGGGGAGGACGUGUCGGUUUGCUCCAGAAAUCGUGUGUGAUUUUGGUGUUCUGGAUUUGGUUCCAUCCCUGUUUGUUUUGGUGAAAUUGAAAAGGUAAGACUCAUAGACCGAUGUAAAAGUGAUGUUGAUCAGAACAUCAUCUACCGAAGUGAGAGUAAAGUGAUGUUGAUGGUGACUGAUUAUUUUCUUUGUUUCUUUUCCUGCUUUCAUCCACUGAUGGUGUCGAGCAUCGCCGAGGAUGUGAUCGAAUGCGGAAUAUUCGAAACGAGGAGAUUCAUUCCGGAUUUUGUUUGCAAUAAGCGCUGAACUAAUCCUCCAGCUUACAGGACGGCAAAGGUACACGCACAAACGUGCACACAUCAGCCUUCUCGGAGAACGAGAACACGGGAGGGGGAGACCGGCAACGUAUAGAACCUUUACGCUCCCUCGUGCGUUCGUGCGUGCGUGCGCGCCCGCGUCUAUGUGUGUGUAUGUGUGUGCAUGCCUGCGUGCGUGGCUGUGUGUGUUUUUGCCGCUUCGCAUAACGAGAUCCUACGGGAUCACCUUGCGAAAAACACCAAGAGAGGGGGAGGGGUAGGUAUGUGUGUAUGUGUGUGUAUGUGUGCUUGCAUGCGUGCGUGGCUGUGUAUGUGUGUGUAUGUGUGCUUGCAUGCGUGCGUGGCUGUGUAUGUGUGUGUAUGUGUGCUUUUGCUGUUUGGCGAUCUCCUACGGAAUCACCUUGGGAAAACACGUGGGGGGGGGGGGGGAGGAGUGAGGUGUGUGUGUGCUUGCCUGCGUGCUUUGUGUGUGUGUUUUUGCGUUCACGUUCUACGGGAUCACUUUGCGAAAAACACCAAGGGGAGGAGGAGGUGUUAGUGUGUGUGUGUGUGUGUGUGUGUGUGUGUGUGUGUGUGUGUGUGUGUGUGUGUGUGUGUGUGUGUGUGUGUGUGUGUGUGUGUAUGUUUUUUUUUUCUUUGCCGAUUCGCACUCUCUCGCGGAUCUAGUUGUGUGCGUUAGUUUUUUUUUUAGUUUCUUCGAAAAAUACCUGGGGGAGGAUGUGUGUAUGAAAGAAUGUACUUCAGAAAAGAAAGUGAAAAUAAAAAAAACGAAUAUGAAAUAUGUUAAACGAA